GAAGUUGCUGCAGUUAGAAAGCUCGUAGUUGAAUAUCCGGCGUCUCUGACGUCUGCCCGACUCGGCUGUAGAUGUUGAGAAACUUUUACUGUUCGAUCAGGCGUUUACUGUGAACAAAUUAGAGUGCUCAAAACAGGCUUUUGCUUGAAUUUUUUAGCAUGGAAUAAUAAAAUACGACUUCGCUCAUUUUAUUGGUUCUUGAACGAAGUAAUGGUUAACAGGAACAGUUGGGGGCAUUCGUACUUAAAAGUCAGAGGUGAAAUUCUUAGAUUUUUUAAAGACGAACUAAUGCGAAGGCAUUUGCCAAGGAUGUUUUCAUUAAUCAAGAACGAAAGCGUUGGGAUCAAAAAGGAUCAGAUACCCUUGUAGUCAACGCCGUAAACGAUACUGACUAGGGAUUGGUGAGGCGAACCCUCAUCAGCACCUAAUGAGAAAUCAAAGUCUUUGAGUUCUGGGGAGAGUAUGGUCGCAAGGCUGAAACUUAAAGGAAUUGACGGAAAGAUACACAAGUCGUGGAUUCUGCGGCUUAAUUUGAUUCAACACGGGAAAACUUACGCAGGCAAAAAGCUAGUAGGAUUGACAGCUUGAUAGCACUUUCUUGAUUUGGCAGCGAGUGGUGCAUGGCCGUUCUUAGUUGGUGGAGUGAUUUGUCAGGUUAAUUCCCUUAACGAACGAGAUCUUCACUUGCUAACUAGUCGUGACUAAAACCUAGUCAUUGACUUCUUAGAAGGACUACGGUUCCAAAACCGUGGAAGUUGGAGGCAAUAACAGGUCCGUGAUGCCCUCAGAUGUUUGCGGCCGCACGCGUAAUACCAUGAUUGGCACAAUAAGUCUACCUAAUCCGAAAGGAGCUGGGUAACCUUCAUAAUGCCAAUCGUGCUUGGGAUAGAACCCUUGCAAUUUUGGUUCUUGAACGAGGAAUGACUAGUAAGCUGAAGUCACUAACCUCAGCUGAUUACUGUCCCUA
rnacentral:rRNA from 1 species